CAUCUUCACCCUUGUUCUAGUAGCAGACGCACAAUCAAAUACACUAACAUUCAACAUGAAGUACACUCUUGCCGCUUUUCUGCUGGUGGUGGCCGUAGCUCAGCUUGCUCAGGGAGGAUGUUAUCCCUCGGUCGCGCCCUGCUCGUCCUGCCAGAAGCCGGUGCCAGUGCAAUAUCGAGUAAACUAUGUAGCUCCAGUGUGCAACACGUGUGAGGAGAAGAGGUGUCCGAUGGGCUACAAGUGGGACGGAUGCAAAUGCGUCCCGGAGUGUGCCUGUCUUCGGCAGCUUGUGUCACUUUAUUGAAGUUGAACGAUCAAUAUGUCGUGAUAUCAUAAACCAUGAAAUGCUAUGCUUUGAAAUUGAAUAAACACGUUAAACGUACUGCAAUUAUUAA